UACGGGGGGGGCAAGCGUUGUUCGGAAUUACUGGGCGUAAAGGGCUCGUAGGCGGCCAACUAAGUCAGACGUGAAAUCCCUCGGCUUAACCGGGGAACUGCGUCUGAUACUGGAAGGCUUGAAUCCGGGAGAGGUGAGUGGAAUUCCUAGUGUAGAGGUGAAAUUCGUAGAUAUUAGGAAGAACACCAGUGGCGAAGGCGGCUCACUGGCCCGGUACUGACGCUGAGGCGCGAAAGCGUGGGGAGCAAACAGG
rnacentral:rRNA from 1 species